rnacentral:lncRNA from 1 species
GUCUAAUUUAAGCCAGGGACCUGGUGAUCCUUUCCACAGCCCACUGGGAAGGCCUAUGUGUUGCUGAAAAACAAACAAACCAACAGCUCUCUGUCACCAUGGGUUCUACAGACCUGGGGAUACACGGCAAAGGCCUGUCGUGGAGGUUGUAACUCUUUGUCCUUUAGGAUUCCCAAGGUAGACCACGUGUGUGCCAGCCCAGCAGGCAAACUGCCCCGUAUGAGUUUGCCCAUCAACUGUGCGUGCAGAUCUUUACUCACAUGCAUGACACAGGAAGCCCACGGGACACUUCCCCAGCAUGCCCCGCUUCCUCUGCAGUCCUGGAAGGAAGACCUGUUCUUGCUUCUUCCGUACUCUCAGGAUCUGGCACAGAACCCGACAAAGAAAUAUUUAAUGAACUAUGGCGUAGGCCUGGCCCUGAACGACACCCUGGGGACCCAGCAGCAGCAAGGUGCAGCUUCUGCCCUCAGCAACCUCACUGUCUAAUGGACGCGGCACAGUGGGCAGGAAGUGACACCAAAGAGCAUCAGGAUUAGGAAGUCUGUUCGGAUUAGCAUGGAAUCAGUUUAUGUUGGACCGAGCUGCCUACCAUGUGUACGCAUAUUGCCCACACAUGUGGUUAGCACCCUGGAUGGUUCGAUUCCAUGUCAGCUUGG